GAUGAACGCUAGCGGCAGGCCUAAUACAUGCAAGACGAACGGUAAGUUGGUUAGCAAUAAUCGACCUAGAGUGUCGUAAGGGUGCGUAACGAGUAUGCAAUCUGCCCUCAACAGGAGAAUAGCUCCCCGAAAGGGGAAUUAACACUCCGUAAUAUAAUGGUUAGGCAUCUUACUAUUAUUAAAACUACGGUGGUUGAGGAUGAGCAUGCUUCUGAUUAGUUAGUUGGCGGGGUAACGGCCCACCAAGGCGAUGAUCAGUAGGGGAACUGAGAGGACGACCCCCCACAUUGGAACUGAGACACGGUCCAGACUCCUACGGGAGGCAGCAGUGGGGAAUUUUGGGCAAUGGCCGCAAGGCUGACCCAGCGACGCCGCGUGCGGGAGGACGCUUUUCGGAGUGUAAACCGCUGUCAGAGGGGAAGAAACGCCGGGCGGGGAAUACUCGUCCGGUUUGACGGUACCCUCAAAGGAAGCACCGGCUAACUCUGUGCCAGCAGCCG
rnacentral:rRNA from 1 species